rnacentral:rRNA from 1 species
AUUGAACGCUGGCGGCAUGCCUUACACAUGCAAGUCGAACGGUAACAGGUCUUCGGAUGCUGACGAGUGGCGAACGGGUGAGUAAUACAUCGGAACGUGCCCGACCGUGGGGGAUAACGAAGCGAAAGCUUUGCUAAUACCGCAUACGCUCUACGGAUGACAGCAGGGGACCGCAAGGCCUUGCGCGAACGGAGAGGCCGAUGGCAGAUUAGGAAGUUGAUGGGAUAAAAGCUUACCAAGCCGACGAUCUGUAGCUGGUCUGAGAGGACGACCAGCCACACUGGGCCUGAGACACGGCCCAGACUCCUACGGGAGGCAGCAGUGGGGAAUUUUGGACAAUGGGCGAAAGCCUGAUCCAGCCAUGCCGCGUGCAGGAUGAAGGCCUUCGGGUUGUAAACUGCUUUUGUACGGAACGAAAAGACUCUUUCUAAUAAAGAGGGUCCAUGACGGUACCGUAAGAAUAAGCACCGGCUGACUACGUGCCAGCAGCCGCAGUAG